GACGAACGCUGGCGGCGUGCUUAACACAUGCAAGUCGAACGGUGAAGGGACUGGUUUUGCUGGUCCUGGAUGAGUGGCGAACGGGUGAGUAACACGUGAGUAACCUGCCCCCUUCUUCUGGAUAACCGCAUGAAAGUGUGGCUAAUACGGGAUAUUCUGGGUCUGUCGCAUGGUGGGCCUGGGAAAGAUUGCGCCUUUUUUGGUGUUUUUGGUGGGGGAUGGGCUCGCGGCCUAUCAGCUUGUUGGUGGGGUGAUGGCCUACCAAGGCGGUGACGGGUAGCCGGCCUGAGAGGGUGGACGGUCACACUGGGACUGAGACACGGCCCAGACUCCUACGGGAGGCAGCAGUGGGGAAUAUUGCACAAUGGGCGCAAGCCUGAUGCAGCGACGCCGCGUGAGGGAUGGAGGCCUUCGGGUUGUGAACCUCUUUCGCCGGUGAAGCAGGCCUGCCUCUUUUUGUGGGUGGGUUGACGGUAGCUGGAUAAGAAGCGCCGGCUAACUACGUG
rnacentral:rRNA from 1 species